rnacentral:rRNA from 1 species
UACGUAGGGUGCAAGCGUUGUCCGGAUUUACUGGGCGUAAAGAGCGCGCAGGCGGUCGUUCAAGUCGCGUGUGAAAGCCCCCGGCUCAACUGGGGAGGGUCACGCGAUACUGAUCGACUCGAAGGCAGGAGAGGGUAGUGGAAUUCCCGGUGUAGUGGUGAAAAUGCGGUAGAUAUCGGGAGGAACACCAGUGGCGAAGGCGAGUCGUCUGGGCUGAUACUGACGCUGAUGCGCGAAGCUAGGGGAGCAAAGCGGG